AUGACAGUUGUAUACAUCCCAAAUUGAAAGGAGAAAAAAAAAACUGUCAUGAAAGCUAAAAAUUCGAGUUUUUAGGGGGAAAAGACGAAGUUUUUCGUAUUUCACUUUUCGUGACAGUUAUUUGGUGUCAUAAAAGAUACAAAAAAUAAUUUAUUUAAUUUAUUAAAAUAAAAUUCAUUUUAAAUCAAAAGUUUAUUAAAAUAAGAUUUUUCCCUUCCCCUACCUCCUCAUCUUCUUCUUCUUCUUCUCUUCUUCUUUUUUUCUUCUUCUUUAUGGAAGAUCCACGCGUCACCCCUCAUUCUCGAUUUUUCCUCCCCUCCGCUAACCAUCUCUCUCCCUCUCUCACGCACGUCGGGAACAACACGCCAGAAAUCCUCCUAUUUCUCUCCUUCAGCCGACGCCACCACCCAACACCCCUUGCAUCGCUGAUCUCACCGUGUCAGACGGCGAGUCAAGUGUGGGAAAGAGGUCAAUAGAAGGAUCGAUGAAGAAUGGGUGAGGACUUGAAAGAAAUUCAUGGAAUGAAGAGAGACUAGAAAACAGAGGAUGUUCCCAAAAGGUAACGUGACGAGAUAUACGUAAUCGUUGAGAGAUGAGGUCCCAACAACGAAAUCCUUUAUGUUCAGUACCAUAACCCAAGAAGCAACAUAGACGUGCACGUGGUUCAAGUUUGGUAUGUUCAUGAGGAUGUAAUAAUACGAAACAUGCACAACAAAAAAUCUUGAGAUUGAAGUAAGAGGGGGAAGUACCGUAUAGUCGUUCAAAUGGGGAAACAUUGUGAGUGACUUUUGAAGAAAGACGAUUAAAGAUAUAGACAGAGGUGAGGGCAACCUCGCCCCAGAAUUUUUUUGGAUAAGCAGCAGAUAGAAGCUGAGCGCGAACAGAGUCAAGAAUGUGACGAUGUUUGCGUUCAACUCUUCUAUUUUGCUGAGAUGUGUGAGGACAUGAGCGUUGAAUUAGAGUACCUUGAUGGGCAAGAAACUCCAUAACUUUCGACCUAUCAAAAAACUCCUCAUUUGGUGGGUCCAAAUAAUAUAAUUUGUUCCAUCAAGAAUGGUGCUGAUGAGACGAGCAACUUCAUGUUUCUCCAUCUAAGAAAUUUAGCCACACACAACUGCCCAAACAAAGUUUCAAAAGUCCACAACUAACUUCCUAAUAGAAACAAGAUCAGAAAUAAUAUAUGAACACAGUAAGUGAGGGCGUGCUAAUCCACAGGAUGUAUGAAGAACCCAUGGCUGAAGAACCAAAUAUAAAAUAUAAAAUUCAGCGUGAAAAGAAACAAAUUUGGAUGAAGAACCCAUGGCUGAAGGUGAUGAGUUAGCCGACGAUGAGAUCCAGAGACCAAACAGAGAUGGAAUCGUGAUAAUCAAAGAAUUAAGUUUGAGAGUUAUACUCCUUUUACACCCAUUUAUACUAUCCACAAUAACAACAUCAUAUAUGUGUGUAGAAUAUCUUGAUUCCUAUGCUUUCACUAGAUAAUAGAAUAUCUCUUCCAAUCCAAUGCUCCCUUUCAAAUUUCCAUGGAAGUUGUUGCUUUUUCUAGCUUUGUUUUGAGAAACUCCCUCUAAUUACUAGAAAAAUCAUGGUGAUUUCUGAGUUUUGACUAAACAUAUUUGGAAACAAGAAAAUAUAAUAAGUAUUAAGCAAAAAUCUCUUUCAUUCAA